rnacentral:misc_RNA from 1 species
CCUCUUGUAGCCCAAUCAUCAGCAUUCCAUAGACUAGAGUAAAUUCUCAUUGCCUCUUUCUUUGGAAAUGGAACACCAAUUGAUUCCAAGUUCUUGAACUCUCUUAUUGGGGUGCCAUCCACUGAGAAGAUGAUCCUCUGGGGAUUCCAUAGAAUAGAAUAGGUGUGGAAAUCUGCAGUUGGGUCAAACCACAAAUAGAAUUGUUGCUCUCUGUUGCCUUUGCCUUGAAACACAUUAGUGUGGAGGAUGUAAGGGUCGCCACUCAAAUUUCCCAAGAAUUCAAAAUCUAUCUCAUCCCAAGUAGACCCUUUUGAGGAUAAAUAAUAGGCCGUAACAGUGCCAGCAGAGUUGCCAGGGACAAGCUUGAGCUGCAUAUCAAUCUUUCCAAACAGAUACUCAUUCCUGGACUGAAAUCCAGAGCCAGAAGCUUUAUCAAGGCCGAGAGUGAGAAGUUCCCCAUUAUUGAGUAUCCUAGCUCGGCCGUCUCCCCAUGUAAUAUCAAAAUCAUUAUAGAAGUUGCUAGCAGAAGCAACCAUCAAAGAGGCGACAAGAACAGGCAUAAGCAGAGAGAGUAUCACAUAUGAAGAAGCCAUUUUGCUAUUGAAUUCGAUUUAGCUUUGUAGGAGGAGAGAUCAG